rnacentral:rRNA from 1 species
AGUGAACGCUGGCGGUAGGCCUAACACAUGCAAGUCGAACGGCAGCACAGUAAGAGCUUGCUCUUACGGGUGGCGAGUGGCGGACGGGUGAGGAAUACAUCGGAAUCUACUUUUUCGUGGGGGAUAACGUAGGGAAACUUACGCUAAUACCGCAUACGACCUACGGGUGAAAGCAGGGGAUCUUCGGACCUUUCGCGAUUGAAUGAGCCGAUGUCGGAUUAGCUAGUUGGCGGGGUAAAGGCCCACCAAGGCGACGAUCCGUAGCUGGUCUGAGAGGAUGAUCAGCCACACUGGAACUGAGACACGGUCCAGACUCCUACGGGAGGCAGCAGUGGGGAAUAUUGGACAAUGGGAGCAAGCCUGAUCCAGCCAUACCGCGUGGGUGAAGAAGGCCUUCGGGUUGUAAAGCCCUUUUGUUGGGAAAGAAAAGCAGCAGGUUAAUACCCCGCUGUUCUGACGGUGCCCAAAGAAUAAGCACCGGCUAACUUCGUG